UUGUGUUUUCUCCCCGUGGCGAUGGCAGCCUCUUCUUUGCAUCCCGCUAGCCUUCGCGCCCCCUCCCCCCCCAAACGAUAGCCUUCUCCUUCACGUUUUCCCCCAGGUGCUAAUCUUCUCAUUUUUCCUUGAUGCAAAGCCUUCGCGUUGAGGUGCCUUCACUUCCUCUCCUCUCUACAUGCUAGGUUUCUUCCCUCUCCGCCCCCUUCUUUCCUUUCCUCUCUGCUUGCUUCACCGUCGCUUAACUGGUAUCAUUGCUGCUUGAGGAACCUGCCUCUUUCUACCCACAACCCCCUGGAGCAUUGAAUUUGAGGGUGUUCAUCGGUUAUUCCAUUUACAAAGGGAAGACAACAUUCACAGUGGAUCCAUGAGCCCCUGAAUUCACCCCUCUUGAAGUCAUUUCUUUGUCCAUACCUGAAAUUGGCCAUCUGAUGAGUCUCAGUGCAAUGGAUUGUUGUGAAUUUUUUCAUGAUCCAUUCAAGGGAAGAAAUGAGGAAGUCAAGAUAAGGAAGAUUUUAAAGGUCGAACUUCUUCCAGAUGGCACCAGAUAUUUCUUUAAUCUUGGAUAAUCUAAAACAAAAGGAUGAUGUUGAACGUGGAUAUUGUAUAAUGUGGUACAUGAAAGAGAGAGUCUUGGAUGAAUAUCCACAAUUGGAGAUGAAGGAGUCGAAUUUGGAAGAGAAUUGAUAUUCGUGGCCAACUCUACAAGCAAGUGAAGGAAUAUAACAUUAGCCAUGUGAGCCACAUGACCAUGCCAAGGGAAAAUGACCUUGGCCGUGUGGAGCAGACAGCUCGUGCAGCAUUAGCAGAGGAGAAGCAUGACAUGGCCAUAUGGAUUCACACGACCGUGUCAUCCCUGAAGCAAUUCCAGAACAAGGUCGUGUAGAUCUACACGACCGUGCAACCUUUCCAGAGCCAAAGCACUGCCAGGCCGUGUGUGUCACAUGGCCGUGUGACACUUCCAGAGACAAGGAUUGGCUAAGUCGCGUGGAUCUGCACGACCGUGCAAGCUAGCUAGAGACAAAGCAUGGCACGACCGUGUGAGAUUCACACGGCCGUGUGACUCUGGCCGAGAGGGAAGUAGGCAAGGCCAUGUGAGAUUCACACGGCCGUGCCACGGGUCGUGUGACGCCCAAACCCCCUGCUCUAUAUAAGGGUUUCUCCUCCUUUGAAAGAGAGGAGGCUCUCCCUUUGGGGAGAUGGAAUCUUGAGGCUUUUCUUCAUCUUUCGGGUGUUAAUCCGAUGAUCUCAAGAUGGUUCCAUUCUCGAAUCAACUCCGGUAGCAAGGAUUGGUUUCGAAGAUUACUCAUUGUAUCUAGAUAAGCAUUUCUUUUUUAUCUUCUUGAUUUGGAUCAAAAUGUUUAUAAUCUUCUUGUUUUCGGAUCUUUUCUUUUGUAUCAUAGAGUAGAUCUCCUUGUUCUAGGAUGGAGAGAGUAUUUGUGAUGUAAAUUGAUGUAAGAUCUUAAGGAUUUGCCAACUUCUUGAUUCAAUGAUGUUUUAUGUUUUGUAUUAAUUCAAUCUUGUAUGGAUUA